rnacentral:rRNA from 1 species
UACGGAGGAUGCAAGCGUUAUCCGGAAUGAUUGGGCGUAAAGCGUCCGCAGGUGGCUAUGUAAGUCUGCUGUUAAAGAGUGAGGCUCAACCUCAUAAGAGCAGUGGAAACUACAUGGCUAGAGUGCGUUCGGGGCAGAGGGAAUUCCUGGUGUAGCGGUGAAAUGCGUAGAUAUCAGGAAGAACACCGGUGGCGAAAGCGCUCUGCUAGGCCGCAACUGACACCGAGGGACGAAAGCUAGGGGAGCGAAUGGG